GUGUCAGCAGCCGCGGUAAAACGUAGGAGGCGAGCGUUAUCCGGAUUCACUGGGCGUAAAGCGCAUGUAGGUGGCUCGUCAAGUCGCGUGUGUAAGCCCCCCGCUCAACGGGGGGAGGUCAUGCGAAACUGGCGGACUGGAGGACAGCAGAGGCGAGUGGAACUCCCGGUGUAGCGGUGGAAUGCGUAGAGAUCGGGAAGAACACCCGUGGCGAAGGCGACUCGCUGGGCUGUUGCUGACACUGAGAUGCGAAAGCGUGGGGAGCAAACGGGAUUAGAUACCCUUGUAGUCC
rnacentral:rRNA from 1 species